UACGAAGGGGGCUAGCGUUGCUCGGAAUUACUGGGCGUAAAGGGCGCGUAGGCGGCCCGCUAAGUCGAACGUGAAAUCCCCAGGCUCAACCUGGGAACUGCGUCCGAUACUGGCAGGCUUGAAUCCGGGAGAGGGAUGUGGAAUUCCAGGUGUAGCGGUGAAAUGCGUAGAUAUCUGGAGGAACACCGGUGGCGAAGGCGGCAUCCUGGACCGGUAUUGACGCUGAGGCGCGAAAGCUAGGGGAGCAAACGGGG
rnacentral:rRNA from 1 species